rnacentral:rRNA from 1 species
UACGGGGGGAGCAAGCGUUGUUCGGAUUUACUGGGCGUGAAGGGCGCGUAGGCGGCCACCGCAAGUCAAUUGUGAAAUCUCCGGGCUUAACUCGGAAAGGUCAACUGAUACUGCGGGGCUAGAGUGCAGAAGGGGCAACUGGAAUUCUCGGUGUAGCGGUGAAAUGCGUAGAUAUCGAGAGGAACACCUGCGGCGAAGGCGGGUUGCUGGGCUGACACUGACGCUGAGGCGCGAAAGCUAGGGGAGCGAACGGG